rnacentral:rRNA from 1 species
UACGUAGGCAGCAAGCGUUGUUCGGAGUUACUGGGCGUAAAGAGUAUGUAGGCGGCUUCGCAAGUUUGGUGUGAAAUCUCCCGGCUCAACUGGGAGGGUGCGCCGAAAACUGCGGGGCUAGAGUGCGGGAGAGGAGAGCGGAAUUCCUGGUGUAGCGGUGAAAUGCGUAGAUAUCAGGAGGAACACCGGUGGUGUAGACGGCUCUCUGGACCGCGACUGACGCUGAGAUACGAAAGCGUGGGGAGCAAACAGG